rnacentral:lncRNA from 1 species
UCCCGAUCUUUCGAUGAGAGGCAUGGGAUAACUCGAUUGGUCGAUGGAUACGAUGUUCACGGCCCGACUACAUCCUUCCAAGCUGCGCCUUAGCAGCCGAUACACCACCUCCAAUGGCUGCCGCGAUCUUGUGGAGCACGUCACCCGGCCAUUAGGGCACUCGUCCUGCAAGCAAUUGAAGAACAAGCAAGAACAAGUAGAACAAGCAACUCAAUUGCAAAUAUGGAGAUGGAAAUCAAUCUGAACUCACAAAGUUGGGGUUCUGAAUCGAGUAGAACGGAUGGUCUAGUCGACACACGCGUCUACAAGGAAGUAGCAAUGGCUAAACUUUCAACAAAACUAAACCCAAUCUGUUCGUGGUGGCUCUAAUUCUUAUUAAUACCUAGGAGGAUGACCGGGGGGUGUUGGGGUCGUGCUCCAACCCUAGGACAUGUCCC